GGUCUCCCAGCUCUGCGUGGCCGUGCCUGCUGCUCCGCGCGCGGCCUUCGUCAUCGGGAGACACAGCAAGGGGCCCCUGAGCUCUGAGCCGGCCGCCCUGUGGUCGCCUCUCUCUCUGGGGCCCGACAGCC